UAUCAAGCCUGGAUUACGCUCCAACAGAGUGAUGUACACCACCCGUGCUGCCUUCAGGAUUCGUUCGGACAAAAACUGACAAGAAAAAAGUAGCAGCAGCGCAGACCCAUCCACCUCUGUUAUGUGGGGAGGAAACAGGCUGUGUUUUCCAUCAGUGGGCGACGUUAACACCGGAGGCAGUCGUGAUGGCGUGACCUUGUUCUAUCAUGAUUUAGUCACGCUGAUGUCAUUCAAAACCAAUAGGAUUCCACUAAACGAGACCAGUUUGAGCUAAACAUCACCUUUGGUGUUCCACAGAGGAAAGUCAGCCAUGGGUUUGGAACGUCAUGCAGGGACGAACGCAGGGACGACCGGAAGAUUGUGUCUGCCGAACACAUGACUGCUGCAGGAGCCUCUGAGGAUGAGGAGACACAAAAGAAAGAA